AAUUUGACUGUGAAUGGGCCAGUAAAUCAACGUAGUGUUAAAGAGAAUGAAACUCAUCGGCUGAAAGGUUUCUAACCCAAAAUUGAUUGAACCUACCCUGGAGUUUGUGAUGAUAAAUCAUACGGCACAUCCCGUUACGAUGUUUGAGUGAACAGAGUGUAUUUUGCUUUGUUAAUUAGAGUGGUACCGCGAAGUUUUCGUCUCUAUU
rnacentral:ncRNA from 1 species